UACAGAGGUCCCGAGCGUUGUUCGGAUUCAUUGGGCGUAAAGGGUGCGUAGGUGGCGCCGUAAGUGGGGUGUGAAAUCCCGGGGCUUAACCCCGGGACUGCAUUCCAUACUGCGGUGCUUGAGGACUGGAGAGGAGACUGGAAUUUACGGUGUAGCAGUGAAAUGCGUAGAGAUCGUAAGGAAGACCAGUGGCGAAGGCGGGUCUCUGGACAGUUCCUGACACUGAGGCACGAAGGCCAGGGAGCAAACGGG
rnacentral:rRNA from 1 species